ACAUGGUAGCACUGUGUAGAACUCCAUUUAUCACACCACCCGGAGCUCCGAUAGUUGUCGGAGACCUCCUUCAUUACCUGAAAACGGUAAUUGCUUCAGGGCAGUACCGGGCUCGCUAAGUGACCCGGAAAUCUCUGAAAUCUUGCAUUUGCACUUCGCCUCACGUUUUGGAGUUUAGUCUAUCCAUUAUUGAAUUUGCCAGCUACUCCUUCCCCAACAAUCGAUCCUUCAUUGUGGACGCCUUCAAACUUACUGCCAAGCCAGUCAAACCAACAUUUCAGCCCGGCUAUAGGGAUAGAGUCUUGGGGGACGAAUUUCGCUUGCACUGGAUCGUAUUUGGUCACUACUCCAUUUGCCAACAAUCCACUAUCCCAAUUUACGCCAGGCUAUCCAUCAUCGAAUUUGCCAAAUGGACGAAUGUCGAGUGCUCCUUCCCCCACAAUCGA